rnacentral:lncRNA from 1 species
UCCUUAUACUCCAAAAAAAUAUAUUGAUCAUAAAAUAUCCUCUAAUAUCUCUCCUAGGUGAGUUGUUCUCCAUCUUGUUCAUAUUUAUAUUCUAAUCUAUGCUGCCCAUUGAACGUCUCACCUUGCAACAUGUAUGAUACAUACAAUUUUUUUUUAUCAUUACAUCGUCUUAAAACAGUAAAUGAUUUCUUCAUCUCCAUAAGCUAAUUCCCAACUUUCAAAGAUUCUAUAGUUCCCUUGAACGCCGAUGGAGAUAACUUCUUAAAUUCUACAAUAUUACUUUGUUGCUUCUACUGUUCUCCAUAUCCUUAUGGUGGCUGUGUUUGUUGUUGCA